UACGUAGGGUGCAAGCGUUAAUCGGAAUUACUGGGCGUAAAGUGUGCGCAGGCGGCCGAGCAAGUCGAGUGUGAAAGCCCCGAGCUUAACUUGGGAACUGCGCUCGAAACUACUUGGCUAGAGUGUGGCAGAGGGAGGUGGAAUUCCACGUGUAGCGGUGAAAUGCGUAGAGAUGUGGAGGAACACCGAUGGCGAAGGCAGCCUCCUGGGCCAACACUGACGCUCAUGCACGAAAGCGUGGGGAGCAAACAGG
rnacentral:rRNA from 1 species